GGGAUAAUAGUAUAGUGGUCAGAAUUUCUCGUUGUGGCUCCCCGAAAAGCAACAUCCGAGAGGACCCAGGUUCGAUUCCUGGUUAUCCCA